rnacentral:rRNA from 1 species
AGUGAACGCUGGCGGUAGGCCUAACACAUGCAAGUCGAACGGCAGCACAGUAAGAGCUUGCUCUUACGGGUGGCGAGUGGCGGACGGGUGAGGAAUACAUCGGAAUCUACUUUUUUGUGGGGGAUAACGUAGGGAAACUUACGCUAAUACCGCAUACGACCUACGGGUGAAAGCAGGGGAUCUUCGGACCUUGCGCGAUUGAAUGAGCCGAUGUCGGAUUAGCUAGUUGGCGGGGUAAAGGCCCACCAAGGCGACGAUCCGUAGCUGGUCUGAGAGGAUGAUCAGCCACACUGGAACUGAGACACGGUCCAGACUCCUACGGGAGGCAGCAGUGGGGAAUAUUGGACAAUGGGCGCAAGCCUGAUCCAGCCAUACCGCGUGGGUGAAGGAGGCCUUCGGGUUGUAAAGCCCUUUUGUUGGGAAAGAAAAGCAGCAGGUUAAUACCCCGCUGUUCUGACGGUACCCAAAGAAUAAGCACCGGCUAACUUCGUG